rnacentral:rRNA from 1 species
CGCAGCCGCGGUAAUUCCAGCUCCAAUAGCGUAUAUUAAAGUUGUUGCAGUUAAAAAGCUCGUAGUUGAAUUUCGGAAUCUGUCCGUUGGUCGGGCUUCAUUGUCCGUACUGAUGUGAUGGGUUCUUACCUUCUGAAUAACCAGCAUGUCAUUAAUUUGGUGUGUUGGGGAAGCAGGACUAUUACCUUGAAAAAAUUAGAGUGCUCAAAGCAGGCUAGUGCCUGAAUACAUUAGCAUGGAAUAAUAAAAUAGGACGGCAUGGUUCUAUUUUGUUGGUUUCUAGGAUCACCGUAACGAUUAAUAGGGAUAGUUGGGGGCAUUAGUAUUCAAUUGUCAGAGGUGAAAUUCUUGGAUUUAUUGAAGACUAACUUCUGCGAAAGCAUUUGCCAAGGAUGUUUUCAUUAAUCAAGAACGAAAGUUAGGGGAUCGAAGACGAUCAGGUACCGUCGUAGUCUUAACCAUAAACUAUGCCGACUAGGGAUCGGACGAUGUUAAUUUUAUAAUGACUCGUUCGGCGCCU